GCCGGGGUAGCUCAGAAGUAGAGCGCUUCUCUGAAAAAGAAGAGGUCGUCGGAGCGUUACCGACCCUCGGCA
rnacentral:tRNA from 1 species